rnacentral:rRNA from 1 species
CUACCUGUUACUGGGAGAUAGCCCGGGGAAACUCGGAUUAAUAUUCCAUAGUAUAUAAUCGUUGCAUGGUGAUUAUAUUAAAGCCUUCGGGUGGUAACAGAUGGGCAUGCGUAGGAUUAGCUAGUUGGCGAGGUAGCGGCUCACCAAGGCGACGAUCCUUAGGGGUUCUGAGAGGAAGGUCCCCCACACUGGCACUGAGAUACGGGCCAGACUCCUACGGGAGGCAGCAGUAGGGAAUAUUGGUCAAUGGGCGAGAGCCUGAACCAGCCAUGCCGCGUGCAGGAAGACGGCGUUCUGCGUUGUAAACUGCUUUUAUCUGGCAAGAAAAAGCCCUUGCGAGGGAAUUUGCCGGUACCAGAAGAAUAAGCACCGGCUAACUCCGUGCCAGCAGCCGCGGUAAUACGGAGGGUGUAAGCGU